AUACGGAGGGUGCAAGCGUUACUCGGAAUCACUGGGCGUAAAGCGCGCGCAGGCGGCUUGAUAAGUUGGAUGUGAAAGCCUACGGCUCAACCGUAGAACUGCAUCCAAAACUGUCAAGCUAGAGUCUGGGAGGGGAAGAUGGAAUUAGUUGUGUAGGGGUAAAGUCCGUAGAGAUAACUAGGAAUACCAAAAGCGAAGGCGAUCUUCUGGAGCAGUACUGACGCUGAGGCGCGAAAGCGUGGGGAGCAAACAGGAUUAGAAACCCUUGUAGUCC
rnacentral:rRNA from 1 species